rnacentral:rRNA from 1 species
AAAGCCUGAUCCAGCCAUGCCGCGUGUGUGAAGAAGGUCUUCGGAUUGUAAAGCACUUUAAGUUGGGAGGAAGGGUUUCUGGCUAAUAUCCAGGAAUUUUGACGUUACUCGCAGAAUAAGCACCGGCUAACUCUGUGCCAGCAGCCGCGGUAAUACAGAGGGUGCGAGCGUUAAUCGGAUUUACUGGGCGUAAAGCGUGCGUAGGCGGCUUUUUAAGUCAGGUGUGAAAUCCCGGGGCUCAACCUCGGAACUGCAUUUGAAACUGGAAGUCUUGAGAUCAGGAGAGGUUAGCGGAAUACCGAGUGUAGAGGUGAAAUUCGUAGAUAUUCGGUGGAACACCAGUGGCGAAGGCGGCUAACUGGACUGAUACUGACGCUGAGGUGCGAAAGUGUGGGGAGCAAACA